GACGAACGCUGGCGGCGUGCCUAAUACAUGCAAGUCGAGCGGAGCGGCGGACGGGUGAGUAAUGCCUAGGCAUCUGCCUGGUAGUGGGGGAUAACGUCCGGAAACGGGCGCUAAUACCGCAUACUAUCAGAUGAGCCUAGGUCGGAUUAGCUAGUUGGUGGGGUAAAGGCCUACCAAGGCGACGAUCCGUAACUGGUCCGAGAGGAUGAUCAGUCACACUGGAACUGAGACACGGACCAGACUCCUACGGGAGGCAGCAGUGAAGAAUAUUGGACAAUGGGCGAAAGCCUGAUCCAGCCAUGCCGCGUAUGUGAAGAAGGUCGUCGGAUUGUAAAGCACUUUAAGUUAGGAGGAGGUACCAGCAGAAUAAGCACCGGCUAACUUCGUGCCAGCCGCCGCGGUAAUAC
rnacentral:rRNA from 1 species